CGUGCGUGGGGUUAGGAGGUUCAACAUGUAGGUGCAUGUAAAACAUUUAGCCCAUGAGUUUGACAGCAAGUUGAGGUGAUUUCUGGUGAAAUAAACCAGCUUAAACUCUUCUAGAACUUACCCCUCUGUAUCCUGUCCAGGUCAUGAAGGAGUUUCAGCUGUGCUUCACGUUUGUUUCGACGUUCACGCCAAAUCUCCAGGGAUCCUCUGGCUCCUUCUCGUCCUCCGCCCUGGCUUCCAUUAUUUUGGCAUCCAAGUCUUCAGAAUCAUCUUGUAAGAGCACUAACUCAUCAGCAUCAGGUAUCCGCAUCUUGGUCUUGGCCAUUAUGAGCAUUUG